GUCCCAAUCAGCUGAUUGGGAACUAGAACUGAAGAAGCUUCUCGGAUGAGAGGUGAAACGUCUUCAAGCAACUUAAAGAAGUCCAGACGCUUUUCUUUGCAAGCUCCUUUGACUACGAUGACCUGGAUGACUGAGAACCUUCACAGACAUAUACUGGCUUUUCUACUCUCCUGGAGUACUCAAAGCGCUGUAUACAACUACAAGAUGCUGUAAUCCUAGAAAAUAAUAAUAAGAGAAGUUUACAUUUGCAAUUCUGGAGAAAUAGCAGUGAAAGAAAAUUACCUACAUAAUUUUCACUCGUGGGAAUAUGUAAUUACAUUAAGUUAGAAGUUUUUAGAUGUUUAGAAGAGGUGAUUAAGAGGCUUUUCUAUUUAAGGGGAGAGGAAAUUAUAGGGGAAAUCUCAGGCAGGCUGUGCAGUUUAAAUGAUGCUCAGAUGGUACAAAGGAGCCCAAAGUGUGCCUAAAAAAUGAGUUUUGGUAAACAAAGUGAAGUUGUUUCAUGUUAAAGUAGUUAAUGAGUUGUUAAGAGAGAUUUUAUUUUUGGGGGCUUUUUUUAAUUUUUUUUUUUACUGUUGAUUUAUUUUAUAUAAUAAAUAUUAGUGCUUAUUUAUGAACUGGCCCCUCGCUUCCUGUCUGGUCACACUCCAAAAGCAGACCCAGAGGAAGGAAGUUGACAGGAAUAAGUACUAAAAUCAUUCACUGAUAGAUAAACUGUGUCAGUCACUGUCACAUUGUCUCUUUCAAACUCUGACUUUCUUUCAGUAAACAACAAAUCCUCAUUAACACUGGGCUGCUCAUACCUUACAGUCAUAAUUUCUCAUUUGAGAAAAAUCACUAUCUGCUUCACAGAAGGUGUCAUUCAUUCUUUAAUUUUUGCAUCUGACUGACGUGUUUCAGUCUCUCAUUAAAUACUGUGGUCCUGUAAAAGUGCCCUAUCCGCUGACAUGAUAUGCUUGUUUUUUAUGCAAGACCUCCCUUUGUGUGAUUUCCUCAGGCCGAGGCCGCUGCACAUUUCUGCAGAUACAGCAGAACUGUCUCCUUUUUGCAGGAAAAUUUAUCAGAUCAAUUACUGUGUUAAUUAUUUUGAUUUAUUUGGGCCUCUGCACAGUGAACUUCGAAAUGCAUUACAUUCAAGAGGCAGUCAGCUAAAUCCUGUGAUAUCU
ensembl:lncRNA